AUUUAUCGGAGAGUUUGAUCCUGGCUCAGGACGAACGCUGGCGGCGUGCCUAAUACAUGCAAGUCGAGCGGACAGAUGGGAGCUUGCUCCCUGAUGUUAGCGGCGGACGGGUGAGUAACACGUGGGUAACCUGCCUGUAAGACUGGGAUAACUCCGGGAAACCGGGGCUAAUACCGGAUGGUUGUUUGAACCGCAUGGUUCAAACAUAAAAGGUGGCU
rnacentral:rRNA from 1 species